UUGAAAUUCAUGUAGCUUUCUUCUUACUUGUGCAAGAAUUACCUACAUGGAUCCUGCAUUAUGGAAAAUCUGCAAAGAUGUUCCUUGUAUUUUUUGAAGGUCUUGGAUUCAUGCUUAAGGACUGAUCAUCAUGGAGUGCUGGCUUGAGCUCCCUGUAUUAUACAGCAACUUCCCACUAGUUACAUGAUGCCUCUCUUUGCUUGAGCAUUCUGGGAAGAUCCUGGAAUUGACUCAUCCGGAAAAGACUCUGAUGCUGGGAAAUAUUGAAGGCAGGAGGAGAAGGGGACGACAGAGGAUGAGAUGGUUGGAUGCAUCACCAACUCGAUGGACAUGGAUUUGAGCAAGCUCUGGGAGUUGAUGAUGACAAGGAAGCUUGGUGUGCUGUAGUCCAUGAAGCCGCAAAUUGUCGGACACGACUGAGCAACUGAACUGAACUGAUACUUGAUCACCUGGCCAAGGUAGUGUUUUACAGGUUUAGUCACAGUAAAAUUAUUUUUUUCUUUUUCUGUUCUUUCCCUUUCUGUUCUUUGGAGGCAACUUGCUGAG
ensembl:lncRNA